CUUCCUUCUUUGGUUGACUGAUACCGGAGGGUGAUUUGCCAGCCAAACUGAGCCACUUCCAUUCUGAUUUCAAAAGUUUCAAAACCCCCUGUUAUUCUACAGCGAAAUCCUACAUUGGAUUUGAAAGCAUCAAAAUGACAGAACUUCAAAAUCCUUUAAACUGCCCAAUCUGUCUGAAUCUGCUUAAGGACCCAGUAACUACAUCUUGUGGGCACAGUUUCUGUAUAAUGUGUAUAAAGCGGUGCUGGGAUCGGGAUGCUUCUAUAAGUCAACAUUUCAGCUGCCCUACAUGCAGGAGGACAUUCAACCAAAGACCAGCUCUCAACAAAAACACUGUCCUGGCUGAAAUUGUAGAUGGAAUGAAACGGGAAGUUCCAGCUGGGCCUGGAGAUGUGAAAUGCGAUUUUUGUAAAGGUAGAAAACUCAAAGCUAUCAAGUCUUGUUUGGUGUGUUUGGCUUCUUACUGCCAAACUCACAUUCAGCCUCAUUAUGAGUCUGAAGCUUUCAAAAAGCACAAGCUGGUAAACACUUCCUCAAAUCUACAGCAGCAGAUCUGCCCUCAACAUCAUAAAGCACUUGAGGUUUACUGCUAUAAUGACUGGAAAUGUAUUUGUGUAGUUUGUAUGGGGAAUCAGCACAGUGGACAUAAAACAGUCUCAGCUUCAGCUGAAAUGGCUAAAAAACAGGAGGAACUGAAAAUACAACACUGGGAUUUCACUCAGAAAAUCAAAGACAUGGGCGAGAAUGUCCAAGCAUUUAGGAAGGCAUAAGGUAUAUGAGCGCUCUGCACAGGCAGCAGUGGAGCACAAUGACAUGAUCUUCAGUGAGCUCAUCCGCUUCAUUCAGGACAGACGAGCUGAGGUGAGAGAACUGAUCAGCACUAAGGAGGAUGAGGAGAUAGUACAGAUCAAUGAUUACAUACAGAAACUGGAGCAGGAGAUCAGUAAUCUGGAACGGGAGAAUGAUAAACUGAAGCUGAUUUUACAUACAGAGGAUCACAUUCAUUUCUUUCAGAAUUACUCUUCUCAAUCUAGAGCAUAUGUGUGCACAACUUCACCCAGAGAUGUUAAUGACCUCCUGACAUUUGAGAAAGUAGAGAAAUCUCUCUCAGAGCUGAAAAACUAACUGGCCACACUCUGUGGAGAGCACAUGGACAAAAUAUCAAAGAAAGUACCCCAUAGAUUCUCUAAAGGUUUCAGGUCUGGUGGGUUUGCUGGCCAGUCAAGCACACCAACACCAUGGUCAUUUAACCAACUUUUGGUGCUUUUGGCAGUGUGGGCAGGUGCCAAAUCCUGCUGGAAAAUGAAAUCAGCAUCUUUAAAAAGCUGGUCAGCAGAAGGAAGCAUGAAGUGCUCUAAAAUUUCUUGGUAAACGGGUGCAGUGACUUGGUUUUCAAAAAACACAGUAGAACAACGCCAGCAGAUGACAUUGCACCGCAAAUCAUCAAAGACUGUGAAAACUUAACACUGGACUUCAAGCAACUUGGGCUAUGAGCUUCUCCACCCUUCCUCCAGACUCUAGGACCUUGGUUUCCAAAUGAAAUACAAAACUUGCUCUCAUCUGAAAAGGGGACUUUGGACCAUUGGGCAACAGUCAAUUUCUUCUUCUCCUUAGCCCAGGAAAGACGCCUCUGACAUUGUGUGUGGUUCAGGAGUGGCUUAACGAGAGGAAUACAACUGUAACCAAAUUCCUUGACACGUCUGUGUGUGGUGGCUCUUGAUGCCUUGACCCCAGGCUCAGUCCAUUCCUUGUGAAGUUCACCUAAAUUCUUGAAUCGAUUUUGCUUGACAAGCCUCUCAAGACUGCGGUUCUUUCGGUUGUUUGUGCAUCUUUUUCUUCCACACUUUUUCCUUUCACUCAACUUGCUGUUAACAUGCUUGGAUACAGCACUUUGUGAACAGCCAGCUUCUUUCUCAAUGAAUGUUAGUGGCUUUUUUUAUAAUUAUUAUCAAUUGUUAGUAGUCUUAUUUUCUAGCUACCUUACUACUGUUGUUGAUCAUAUUGUUGUGUUAAUGGUUGUACUGUUCCUAGACCAUUAAAUGUUAAAUAAAUGCAAUGCAGAUAAAAAUGUUUUGAAUUUGUGUAUAUCUAUACAUGUUAAAGUGCAAGCUUAGUGUUCAUUAUGCCUUUGUAUGUGUAGCGGGUACAGGACUGUAUCAGCUGAGAGUUAAGUGUUCCCAGCAACAUCUGUAGAAUGGUGGAAUAAAGACAGGACAACAAUGUGCGUGUGAUCAGCUCUUGUCUUGCUGGGUUACAUAUUUUUCCAAAAUGUUCACAUUAGAACAAUCAAUAACAGAUAUAGAGUAGAAUGUAACAAUAAAUUGUUUUUUAUGCAAAUGUCCACUGUUUCAGUCUCUUUCUUGUGAAUAUGCAACUUAUUCAUGAAGAUCUGUCCAUCAGCCAAUCGCUGAUUUGUAUAUUCACAUGCUAUUCUGUGUCACGACUCUUGAGUUUUUCCUUAAUUCAACCGUGCCAAAUACAUACACAAAUAUAACAUUCUCUGAAUGUUUUACCCAUUUUAGAUUGCUCACAUGCAUUACUAAACUAAACAUUGUAGGAACUGUUAAUCAAGAACUUAUUCAAGAAUAUUCACCUUCAGUAUACACUAUAACAGAGCAUACAUCUCCAAUCGCGGGUUAACAUCGCGAUUUCAAUCAACAAUUAAACAUGCAAAACUUUAUCAAAAGGAAUCGAUUUAAAGCACUUGAUAUGCACUAACAUCUGGGGCCAGUUGCAUAAACUUAGCCUCGAUGUUAAGACAGUGUCUUAACUAUUUGUCUGACUAACUAGCAGUUAACCAAAGGGUAAUCAUUAUUAUUUUUUGGAUUCAGCUUAGACUAAUUUACAUUUUUCAGUAACUGUUUUUAAAUAAAUUAUUACCAGUCUUAAAGAAAAAUUAGCUGACUAAAUUUUUAAGACUAGUCUAAACCUUUUAUGCAACCGGCCCCUGUUCUUUAAACAUCCAUCAAGACUGAUACAUUAAACAGUUGACUAACCUGUAGAAUGGUGGAAUAAAGACAGGACAACAAUGUGCGUGUGAUCAGCUCUCGUCUUGCUGGGUUAUAACCAGCAGCUCAGCAGACGACUUGCAACACACUGCACUCACAUAGCGCCCUCUAUUGGUCUAGUGGAACCACCAUUCUUUUAAUGCAUUUACACAUGC